UGUUCCUGUAGCGCAAUGGAUAGUGCGUUGGACUUCUGAUCCAAAGUCGUGGGCUUAAAUUCCCGCUGGGAUAG